rnacentral:tRNA from 1 species
GCAUUGGUGGUUCAGUGGUAGAAUUCUCGCCUGCCACGCGGGAGACCCGGGGCCGAAUCCUGGCCAAUCCA